AUUGCUUCCUGGCCUUUUGGCUAAGAUCAAGCAUAAUAUCUGUUCUUCUCAAUGUAAUAACGCACACAUCCUAUCUUCUCAUUUUUCCAUUUACUAGGUGUUGUCUUAAAGCAAAACAUUAGAAACAGGCAACUUAUUAGAUUUAGUUUUCUCCUGAAUGUAAUGCUAAUCGCAUUCAUAUUUAGGAGACAAUACUU